rnacentral:rRNA from 1 species
CCUACGGGAGGCAGCAGUGAGGAAUAUUGGACAAUGGGCGCAAGCCUGAUCCAGCCAUGCCGCGUGCAGGAAGAAGCAUCUAUGGUGUGUAAACUGCUUUUGUACAGGAAGAAACACUCCCUCGUGAGGGAGCUUGACGGUACUGUAAGAAUAAGGACCGGCUAACUCCGUGCCAGCAGCCGCGGUAAUACGGAGGGUCCGAGCGUUAUCCGGAAUCAUUGGGUUUAAAGGGUCCGUAGGCGGUUUAAUAAGUCAGUGGUGAAAUCUGGUCGCUCAACGAUCAAACGGCCAUUGAUACUGUUAGACUUGAAUUAUAAGGAAGUAACUAGAAUAUGUAGUGUAGCGGUGAAAUGCUUAGAUAUUACAUGGAAUACCAAUUGCGAAGGCAGGUUACUACUUAUGGAUUGACGCUGAUGGACGAAAGCGUGGGGAGCGAACAGGAUUAGAUACCCUGGUAGUCCACGCCGUAAACGAUGGAUACUAGCUGUUCGGAGCAAUCUGAGUGNGUAGACGAAGUAGAGUAAGUAUACCACCGUACGGGAGGUACGUUACGUCGAAGAAGUAGAAACGUUAAAGUUAAGUAAGUUAGUACGGACGUGAGACGUAGACCGAACGGACGACGACGAGGGGAGGAGGG